CAAGAUAGAGCAUGAUUAUAUGCAUUUCACUUACACUGAAAAGAUAAUAUUAUAUUUAUCUUGA
rnacentral:tRNA from 1 species